rnacentral:rRNA from 1 species
UACGGAGGAUGCAAGCGUUAUCCGGAAUGAUUGGGCGUAAAGCGCGUGUAGGCGGUCCGGUAAGUCCGCUGUGAAAGUCGGGGGCUCAACCCUCGGAUGCCGGUGGAUACUGUCGGGCUUGAGUACGGAAGAGGCGAGUGGAAUUCCUGGUGUAGCGGUGAAAUGCGUAGAUAUCGGGAGGAACACCAGUGGCGAAGGCGGCUUCCUGGACCGGUUCUGACACUGAGGAGCGAAAGCGUGGGGAGCGAUCCGG